rnacentral:snRNA from 1 species
CCUACUUCUCGGCCUUUUGGCUAAGAACAAAGUUUAGUUUCUACCCUUAACAAACUAACUUUCGGCAGAAAUUCCAAUGAAUGUUGAUAAUAUUAAUUGAUUUUUGGGACCGGAUGAAGUUGAGGGCUUGCUAGCACUUAGUCACGGAUCGGCCCCGCGUUACACUGACCAAUCUGCAAUGGGAGGAAAAUGAGCAGAAUCCU